AUUGAACGCUGGCGGCAUGCCUUACACAUGCAAGUCGAACGGCAGCACGGAGCUUGCUCUGGUGGCGAGUGGCGAACGGGUGAGUAAUAUAUCGGAACGUACCCUAGAGUGGGGGAUAACGUAGCGAAAGUUACGCUAAUACCGCAUACGAUCUAAGGAUGAAAGUGGGGGAUCGCAAGACCUCAUGCUCGUGGAGCGGCCGAUAUCUGAUUAGCUAGUUGGUAGGGUAAAAGCCUACCAAGGCAUCGAUCAGUAGCUGGUCUGAGAGGACGACCAGCCACACUGGAACUGAGACACGGUCCGGACUCCUACGGGAGGCAGCAGUGGGGAAUUUUGGACAAUGGGCGAAAGCCUGAUCCAGCAAUGCCGCGUGAGUGAAGAAGGCCUUCGGGUUGUAAAGCUCUUUUGUCAGGGAAGAAACGGUGAGAGCUAAUAUCUUUUGCUAAUGACGGUACCUGAAGAAUAAGCACCGGCUAACUACGUGCCAGCAGCCGCGGUAAUACGUAGGGUGCAAGCGUUAAUCGGAAUUACUGGGCGUAAAGCGUGCGCAGGCGGUUUUGUAAGUCUGAUGUGAAAUCCCCGGGCUCAACCUGGGAAUUGCAUUGGAGACUGCAAGGCUAGAAUCUGGCAGAGGGGGGUAGAAUUCCACGUGUAGCAGUGAAAUGCGUAGAUAUGUGGAGGAACACCGAUGGCGA
rnacentral:rRNA from 1 species